CCAAGGAGUCUAGCAUGUGCGCGAGUCAUUGGGUCUUGCUUAGGCCCAUAGGCGAAAUGAAAGUGAAGGACGGCAUUUAUGUCGACCGAGUUGGGAUCCCUCUCUCCUUGUGGGAAGGGCGCACCAACGCCCCGAUCCAAGCCGCCACGUCGGCGGGUCGGAGGUCGAGCGCACACGCUGGGACCCGAAAGAUGGUGAACUAUGCCUGGGCAGGACGAAGCCAGAGGAAACUCUGGUGGAGGUCCGCAGCGAUUCUGACGUGCAAAUCGAUCGUCAGACCUGGGUAUAGGGGCGAAAGACUAAUCGAACCAUCUA
rnacentral:rRNA from 1 species